rnacentral:rRNA from 1 species
CGCCCCGAUCACACCUCCACCCAGUGCGCCGCCGCCCGGAUCCCACCGCCACCCUGCGCGCUGCUGGCCCUAUCCCCCUCCUCCCAGAGCGCCUCCGCCACGGCCCCCCUCCUCCCAGCGUGCCUCCCGUCGCCGACCCCUGCCCCCAACUUGCCUCCUGCCGACGACCCGCCUCCAUCCACCGGCGUGCUUCCCUCGCCGUCCGCCGCGCGCCUCCCUCCCUGUCUAUCUCUCGUGCGCCGCCUCACCCGAGGACCUGCGCACCAGUGCACCGCCACCCCUACCCCGCCGUGGUCGGCCGCCGAGAUCCAAGGCUGAGGAGGACCUAUGAGUCUUGCUCGCCGGAGCUAGGUUGCUCGCCAGCCACCUUCCUCCCCUGCGCUCUCCCGUCGCCUUCCUCGCGGCGCUCCGUCCACCUUGCUCCCCGCGCUCCGGCCGCCUUCCUCCCCACGCUCCGGCCGCUCUCUCCCACGCACGCCGGCCGACCGCAUCCCUGCUUCCAUCAGCUCCACUUCGACGGAGCCGUCAGUCCACCGGAGUACAGGGCCCAAACCCACUAUUGUGCAAGAAAAAGAAAGCAAAGCCCCAACCAUCAGCUGCUCAAUCAUCAGACCUGUGGGGAGAAGACGGAACUAAAAUGAUUCAGUUCAUCAUUGGCACCCCUGUAAACCAAACAGUGAAGAACACACCCCCUGUACUUUUGCGCUUGUUCUUUCUAUCUCCUAAAUUCUAUGCUUUCUGUGAUGAGCAUGCUUGGUACUAUAUAGAUACUGCUGUAGUAGUUCUAAUACAAUAUAUUACAAGAAUUCAUUGACCAAAAAGGUGUCAGUUCAUAUAUGUAUGCAGCAACUGUUCUGAUACUACUUCAGUAACCAAAAAAACACAAAAGUUCAACUAUACUUGUACAAAAUAGUUCAAUAUUUUAUUCUAUGACAGUCAAGAAAAACAGAAAAAAAGAGGUUCAUUGUGUGAUGAACAAUAGUCCCAACAGUGUGGUAGAGAUGCAAAAAAUUGAUAGCAUAGUUGAUGCUAGUUUUCAAUCACUUUCUGAAGAAAACUGAAGUUGAUCAGAGUACCUGAAGAAUAAUCUGUUAGUUCUCAAGUAUGUGUAAUGCUGCCAUUUUACUGUGCAUUUGAUUCCAUCGAGAUGGAUGUAUUACAAGAUAUGGUUGUAUUAUUAUGUUGAAUAAAAAUGCCAUUUUGCUGCAACAUUUUCUGUCAGCUCCUGUCAAGUUAUACAUGUAUGUGAGGACCUUCUAUGUAGUAAGUUCAUUGUCGAGAAGUCAGGGACUUAGUAAAGAACGUGAACACCAAAAAACCAUUAAAAACCCUAAACCUUAUGUUAGGGGAGUUCAAGAAGUUCAUGGCUAGCUGUCCGUGUUGUGUAUUCUUAUCAGUUCAUAAUCGAGAAGACAUGUAUUCUUAUCAGUUUGUCUAUCUAGCCGGUCGUGCUGUGUAUUCUGGUCUGUUUGUGUGUGUAUGUGUUGCCCUCGCGGUGUACGAGAGGCCGCCAGUGAGGAAGUCACCGAUCUGGUCGAGGCAUGCUGCUAUUCUCUAUUUCCGGUAGCACAAACAUUUAAAAGUUCGAACACCAAACCCUGGUAAGUUCGUCUUGACAAAAACACAUCUCUCAUAUUUGUUCCUUUUUCGUAGGUUGAAGUUAAAACAAGAUGCACAAGUUCAUCUUUUGUAUGCUUUUCAGUUCAUCUACUUCCCGAUGAGCACUAGUACUGAUGAGUCGUACUGACAAGGAUGCCGGCAACCGGUGAUGCUCCUCCCGCCGCCACUCUACCUCCUUCUCGAUGGGGCUACGCCGCCGUCUCGAUGGGGCUACGCCGCCGCUGCGUGCAGGAAGUCCAUCGCCUCCACCCCAGGCCGUUCAAUGCCACCCGUCGUGGAUGUGCUCCGCUCUAACGCCAUGGCUUGCGAUUCAGCGGCAAAUAACGGAGCCUGCAGAAGGAGCCGCCGGGUCGAGGACCUCCAGUUCGUCAGUCCAACAAAAGGCUAUAGAAAGUUGAUACUAGUUUGCAUUAAGGAUGCAGCAAAAAGCAAGAUUCACAAGUUCAUCUUCUGGAUGCUUUUCAGUACAUCUACUUCCCGUUGGAGCGCCCUGGCCGAUCACAGCCGCCACCGCAGGCCGUUCAACGCCACCUCCAUCAGUAAAUGUUCCACUGAAAAUCAGGAACUGCAUGCUAUAUACAGAAUUUCUACAGAAACUGCUGCAGAUACAUGACUUAUGAGGCUACCAGAGGCUACUACACCUCCAGAUUAUUGACAGCCUGCAACUUACUUGCUUCCAACACACUAGUAACACAUUCUAAGGUCCCAAAUCGGCUACUUCAGAGCGCUGUUGCUAUUCUGUGGGUAAAGGUCCUCAUUUUGUUGAUGGCGGCAUCUUACAAAGAAAAGGAAGUUCGAGAUGGGAACACUUGUUUCAAAUGCUCACCUCCGAUUCGCGAUGCUGCCAACAAGGAAAACCUCUGGGAAGCUCUGCUGGUAGUGCAAUCUCCUAUCCAUCCCAGCUCCAACUUACUGCUGCUAACCAACUGUAUGCAUGUAAUAAAAAAGUAGGUGUUUGUUGCACAACUUCGAGUUGUCGCUACUCGGAGAUGCUACUACUAUUGCUAGCUUUGGGGUUCACAUGCUACAGCACAUG